GGAUACUCAUAAGCCAGGACUUCCCAAGAGUGUCCCAUGGAACCUGAGUUCUAAGGACGGUACAUGAAAAAAAUCAACAUGGGUUCCAUGAUCAAAGAAGUUUGGGAAAUGGGCUAAAUGAAAGGACUUCCAAGGCCUUUUAUCUGCUAAUGAGAAAGAACAAGCCCUGUGAAAAACAAGCUGCUGUCCCUGCUAGAGGCAUCCUGCAAUCCAUGGAUGUUUAUCACCAAGCCAUUGUUAACAUGAGGAUCCAGUAUCUGCCGGAGGAGCCCCACCUUCUGCUACUAUUAUGUUCUUCAGAUGAGUAGAAGAGAGUGGGGAGGGAGAGAGCAGGAAGAAGAAAGGAAGAAUAAUGUCUUGAAAUUGAUGAUGCAUAUCAUAAAUUAUUACUCACCCCAUGUUCCCACCCUCGAGAGACCUCCAAACAAUCACCAUGCCACAGUGAACAUUCAGUAACAAAAAUUCAGCCAGGGUUUUCACCAGCAUGAAUGGCAGUGAUUCCAAUCAGGAAAACAGAAAGAGGAGAGUUCAGAGCCACCUAGAAUGGCUCUUGCAAGAUACGAAAUCAAGGCAGCAGCAACAGGGCUGAACAUUCCUCAUCCCUAACUCUCCCUUCACCAGUAGGAAACCCAGGAUAACUGCAAUCACCGCAGGCCCAUCUGGCCUGAAGUUCUACUACUAGUAGCCCUCCAUGGGACCUUCUUAAGGAAGCAUGUCAACUCAGGUAAGGGAUGUAAGGGGAUGGAUGACCCUUUGAGGCCAAAGUUGGAGCAAAAAACACCAGAUGUUCCUGUGCACUGCUCCUAAGAGAUGGUUCUGAAGACCAGUUCGGGGAGAGGUCAAAAUACUGGACAGAAUCUCAGCAACAUGGAACCUCAAACUAAGUGACAGUCACAGACAACUCUUCCCCAAAGAAAAUAAGCACAGACAUGGUUUGUGGUAAGCAGAAUUAUAAAGAUGAAUUCCCAUCUCCCUGUCAGAUUACCAGUAUGGUAAAUUACCAGAUUACCUGGUUAUUUAUUCAAACACUAAUACAGUUAUUGCCUUGAUGGAAACAUACAGAUACAAUUAAAAUCCCAAGUACCAAAUAAAUUGACCUUAAGACAAAGACUAAGUAAAUCACAUGAGCCCUCUACAAGCAGAGAGUUUUUCUCCAGCUGGUAGCAGAAGCCAGAGAUUUGAAGCAUAGGAAGUAUUCAACACAUUAUUGCUGGCCUGAAAAUGGAAGGGGCCACAUAACGAGGGAAACCGGUGGCCUCUAGAAGCAGGGAGCAGUCCCCUGCUGACAGACAGCAAGCCAAGACCUCAGUUCUACAAUUGCAAGACACUCAAUUCUGCUAAGGACAAAAAUGAGCUUGGAAGUGAACUCUGAGCUUCAGGUGAGAACACGGCCAAACAACACCUUGAUUUCAGCUUAAACAAAGAAUGCAGCCACUCCAUGCCAGAAUUCUGACCUGUAGAAAUUUGAGCUAAUAAAUAGAUGUUUUAAUAGCUUCA
ensembl:lncRNA HISLA HIF1A stabilizing long noncoding RNA